ensembl:snRNA U2 U2 spliceosomal RNA
AUCGCUUCUUGGCCUUUUGGCUAAGAUCAAGUGUAUAGUGAUAAGAAAUUAUCCUAGAAGUUAUACUGAUUUCAAAAUAAACAAAUGAGUCCUCCUUUGUAGUUGUUAAUAUUUAAAAAGCAAAAGACUU